rnacentral:lncRNA from 1 species
AGAAUAUUUGUGGAUAGAUAAGUAUUUUUUUAAGAACUUUUCAUCGAUAUGUUGUAUUUUAAAAUAAUUUUCUUAAAUACUCCUAUUUUAGGAAAGGUUUCAUUUUCUUAAGAAAUAUUGUAGAUUUGGGUUUUGUGAUUUUGAAAUUAGGAUAACAAGAAUAUUUGUGGAUAGAUGAUUAUUCUUUAAGAAUUUUUCAUCAAUAUGUUGAAUUUUAAAAUAAUUUUCUUA